UCCCGGCUUGCUUCUGGGAGCCGCUGGGGAGCCAGGAACGGACGUGUCAACUGCGGGAUCGGCUGUUACGUUCCGGAGGCUUGACUUCAUGCCGAUCGUGGAUGAAGGAGGCAGAGUCCCCUUCUGGGAGCUGCUGACGGCCACCAGCUAGAAGGCAUAAGCCUCGGACUCGGCCGAUGCCAUCCUCCAACUCGAGACACGAUCGGGACCAAGUGGGGCAAAGACAAAGGAGCGGCUGGACUUCAUCGUGGUGAAGGCCGCUGUUCUCCCGAGUGCGGGGGGGCAGUGGCCCGUCCGGCUGUCGGUGCCCUGGGUUGCAUCCUGACCGAUUCCCUGGCGUAUUGUGUUACAGGAGCAGGUUAGGACUCGAACUAGCGACCGCUUUCACUUAUGAACCAUUUAAUGAUCUGCUCACAAACCCUUUUCUUCCUGCCCCCGAGUUGGGGACCCUGGAUUUAGAAACUGUUGGACCCCCGGGGUGAGGGCUGCUUGCUUCCACCCGCAAACGCAACAGUGCUCCCCCUGCAUUGAAGCCCCGACUGCCUCCUGGGAUAUCAGUCACUGCAAAUCACUGGAAGAGGGAGCUGUGCCCGUGACCAUCUUGGAGGAGAGAACUGGGUGGGGCCCAGCGACCCUAGCCCUGGGACAGGAAGCAGAGACUGGAGACUUCCUGCUUUUGGUUCAUCCUGACGGAGUCUGCAGGGAGGACGAUGUUUCAAGAAGAGAGGUCACAAAGGACAUCUACGGGAUGCUUUCAGCGUUAGGGGCGGCGACAUCGGAAUGUGCUACAUCAUGAAAGAAAGAUGAGAGAAUGUACGUAGCACGGG